rnacentral:rRNA from 1 species
AUUGAACGCUGGCGGAAUGCUUUACACAUGCAAGUCGAACGGCAGCACGGGUGUUUGCACCUGGUGGCGAGUGGCGAACGGGUGAGUAAUACAUCGGAACGUACCCAGUUGUGGGGGAUAACUAACCGAAAGGUUAGCUAAUACCGCAUACGACCUGAGGGUGAAAGCGGGGGACCGUAAGGCCUCGCGCAAUUGGAGCGGCCGAUGUCUGAUUAGCUAUUUGGUAGGGUAAAGGCCUACCAAGGCGACGAUCAGUAGCUGGUCUGAGAGGAUGAUCAGCAACACUGGAACUGAGACACGGGCCAGACUCCUACGGGAGGCAGCAGUGGGGAAUGUUGGACAAUGGGCGAAAGCCUGAUCCAGCCAUUCCGCGUGAGUGAAGAAGGCCUUCGGGUUGUAAAGCUCUUUCGGCAGGGAAGAAACGGCCUAGGUUAAUACCUUGGGCUAAUGACGGUACCUGAAGAAGAAGCACCGGCUAACUACGUGCCAGCCGCCGCCGUAA